rnacentral:lncRNA from 1 species
UAGACUUCUCUCACCUCCUCCGCUCUCGCAUCUCGCCCUCGCAAAAUCAGGCGUGCGCCGCCGCUCGCUCUCCCCCGGCUCCCCCUCGCCCGCGUACGCCCGCUCUCCCAUCGCCGUGUCUCCACUCUCCAUUCGGGCUCCCUCGUCCAUCUAGCUAUUGGCGCUGCCCUCCCUCUUGUGUCAUCAGGCGCCAGCGCCGGCGCCGCCGCACUCCAUUCCCAUAGCCAGCCGCCGGAGCUGGUGUCUCCUCCAUCCUCCUGGUCGGUCUAACCGCCACGACAUUGGAGGGGAAUGGGGGUUGUCAGAUCCGGCUGUUCCCUACCUUGGGGCGACUGGAUCCGUCCAGCGCCGCAUGGUCCUCCUGCAGAUCCCCAUUUUCAGUGAUAAACGGGUAUUUUCUUUUAAUUAGUCAUUCUUACUUUGUGCGCAGUAGCUAGCAUGAUUAGUUUGAUGCGUUUAUGCUCAGGUGCGAGGGCCACACGUCCAGGGGUGGGCAGGCUUGUUGUACUUCCCCUUUGCGGCGGUACUCAUUCUCGCUGACCCUCGCAUCUCCUCAAUAUACAAGCUUUACAGGUUUCGUAUAUUAAUUAUCAUUGCUUUGGAUCUUAAAUAACUCUGACAAAUCUUUUUAACUUAAUUAUUUUGCUGAUCAAAAUGCAUUUGUUAUCAGUUUUCAAGAAAGAUAUAUAACUUGAUUCAAGAAUUUGUUAAUCCUGUACAAAGUUUAGAUUUUGACUAUAUAUAGUGCAUCACGGUCAUCUUUGCUUGCCUGAUCAGGAAACGUAGACAGGGAUGUUACUCCACUAGAAGUCUUGAACAUACCUUAUAGGUGUUGAGCUCAGCAGAAAAUUUAUAUGUUGAACUAUAGAAUUUGGAUAAUUACUUACUCAGACUACUAAAUUAAGUAUAUAAAAUUUGUGGAUUAAUGUUCAUUCCAAUCCUUUUAGGGGCAUUUACAAAUGCAGAGAAUGCAAGUACUUCAUAUGUUCUGAAUAUAUGCAAACUAAAGUAUUUUACAGAAAUUCGGUAUGAGUAUAUUAAUUCAAGUUGGCAUUUUUAUACUUACUGAUUUGCACUUUUACCAUUUUGUGUCCUUAUCUUCUUAGCCUGAAAUAAAUUGGACUUUAAUUAAUGCAAUCCAUCUAUGUACCUCUGAAGAGCAUGCAUCCAGUUGAGAUCACUGAUCAUUAGGUGCGGAAAAUCUUAGCACUUCUUUUCUCUGAAAUAAACUCCUAUUUCCGUUGUCAAAAUUAUAUAUAUAGAAAAAUGCUUUGCAGGUUAGUUCCUGUAGAUCUUGUUUCAUCAUGUACUCAGUGGUUUUGCUUCUUGAACAUAUAAUAAUUCUCGGUUUCUAUACUUUCCUUUGAUCACUAAAAAUUCCAGAAGUGAUGGUGGCAAACGCAUUUGGAUAAGAUAAAUCUUAAUUUGGGCUAUGAUGGAGUGAGUGGUCUCUGUUGUUUAGCUAUGUUUUAGCUGCUUAAUGUUCUGUGACAAAAUACUUUAUGUUAAGUUCCUGUAUUGCAAUUUAGACGGUCUUGUCUUAAGGGGGCAUAAUAAUCUUUAGUUCCUGUAUGAUGAGGUGAUCUAAUCAUCUAAGGCUUCCUGCUGCAAUAUUGAAUAGUAGUGUAAAGGACAUUGAAUGUGGGCAGGUUAGUAUUUUUGAAUCUUCUAGUAUGUAUUCACAUUUUUAUUGCACUACUAGGCCACCUCAGUUUAUAGAUUUUAGUAAAUUAGCAAUAUACACAAUGAAAAGAAAACUGUUGUGUUAAGGAAAUUCUUUAUUUGCCAUCCAGAAUGAAAAGAACAUGAGGUUCAGUGCAUCCAGUUAAUGUGUUGCCCCUUUGUUUUUUAAGAUCAAACUAGUAUUUCACAGCUGAGUUUAAAGAGGGAAUAAAUUCUGAUUUACUCGGUAUACAUACGCUAUUUUGUUUGGCCAACCUGUGCUGCUUUUUACCCAUGCAUGCUGUUCUAGUUGCGGCAUCUGCUAUGCUCUGAUUAACUGGCACAGCUACUCUGGUAUGAUUAGCUAUUUUGGACUUUGGUUAGGAUUGGAGGCUGUGCUGUUUGGCUAUUGGUUUUGCAAACCAUGACUAUUAGAGGGCAGCAAACAUCUGAUUAUACACUAAUUGCUUUUGUAUUUCCUUUUCUUUAAUCUUAUCUUAACAUGCACUGUUCAAGAACUAAUGCAUGUACCUCACUUGUUUUCAGAUUCCUCAUACUGGAUAGUGUCCUUAACCUUGGUGGAUAUGGGGCUGUAGCAUAUGAUUAGGUCUGAACUGCUAAGGGUGGUGCUACUGCCUCUGGUUUUUCCUUAGUUCAAUUUUAUCACCUCUUAAUCAAGUGAUUUAUGUGAAGCCAAAAAGGACUUGCCACCCUUAGGAUCGUCAAUGUACAAAUUCUUUCUUAGCUUUUUUUUUUUUAAUUCACAAUCCUCUGUUAAAAUGCUGAGGAGAAUGGUCAAUUGGUCAUGUACAUGAUGAAUGAAUGAAUGAAAUGAAUCAGACAUUUGAGGGUGGUUGUCAUUGUGAAUGUCAUUAGCUAUUGAAAUUGGUAUGCUCAUGUAAACAGGUGUAAUGGACAAUAAUGUGAAAUAGUUUUCUUUUUAAUGGUAGCAGAGCUUGCUGUCAGACAGUGUGUCGGCAAAUCUACUUUUUUCAUCAACUCGUCUGUCGGUAAAGAUGUUUCUGUCGCUAGACAUGUCUGUCGUUGAAGGUAAUAUAGGGGUCAGUUCAUCUGUCGGUAAAGAUUUAUCUGUCGGAAAAGCCCUUUGCCGACAGGCUUUCGCCUGAUACACGUAAUCUGUCGGAAAACUCUCUACCGACAGACAGGAUGAUGCUAAAGGUGGUAUUUACCGAUAGAUGAGCUGUUGCAGCUUUCAGGUCAUGGUGUAGUGACUUUUGUGAAGUAUGUAAAACUAUAUGUAUACAUAAAAGUAUACUUAACAAUGAAUUAAAUGAUAGGAAAAGAAUUAAUAAUUACUUAAAUUUUUUGAAAAAGACGAACGGUCAAACAUGUCUUAAAAAAAUCAACGGCG